rnacentral:lncRNA from 1 species
AUAGAUCUUUGCAAUCUCCAUGACAUAACAUAAGCACCCGCAGCAGAAAAUGACAGAAACGUCCCCAGAUGAUUUCGGCUUCUCCAGCACUCGAUCAGACCAAGUUCCACGUUACCAGGUACGAUUGAAGCAUAUAUCUUUCAUUGUUUUUAGUUUAACCACCCACUUAAAAAGCCGAAACCAGGUGUUAUUUGCUUAAUGGCCGAGCCGUCGCUGCCAUCAAAUCUAAAGAGAAUCGAUGCUGGAUUCUCAACUUAUUUUUUAAUCGAAAAUCAACAUCUGCGACAAUUAUGUGAUUACAAAUCUCAUUUGUUAGCUUGUUCGUUUUUCUUCGUUCCAUAUUGGGGGUUUUCAAUCUGUCCAAAUGGGAAAAAAAAAAAUGUCUUGACAUACAGAUUGUACAAUUGUUUUGGACAGUUCACCACCGUUAAAUAACUCCAUAAUUUCACAUCUAUCUAUCUAUAUAUAUAUAUAAAGCUAGGACUUGAGGAGGUGAUGUGGCAUCACCAUUUUUCUUCUUUGUAUAUUCUCUAUUAUCUAAUAAAUAGAGAAUUUUUUUUUAGAUUUGACUUUUCAUCUUCUCAUAAUUAAUUUGAUUGUAUUUAACUCAUUUAAUAAAUAGUAAUUUUAUUAAUAUAUAUCAUUCCUCAUCUUUUUUUAUUUUCUAUUAUCUAAAAUAUCUAAAAUAUUGGUGGAUAUUCUUUGAACUUUUUUUCUCUUUCUAUUUAAAUUCAACAAUAUGUAAUCAUUAAUAAUAAUUAAUUAUAAGUCUUUUGAAACAUUUAUUUAUUUUAUUAUGCUAGCAAUUAAACUUUAGUGGCUUAAAAUACAUGAAUUAAUUAACAUAGGAAGAGAGAUUCUUUCAUUUAUAAAGCUAGGACUUGAGGAGGUGAUGUGGCAUCACCAUUUUGCUUCUUUGUAUAUUCUCUAUUAUCUAAUAAAUAGAGAAUUUUUUGUAGAUUUGGCUUUUCAUCUUCUCAUAAUUAAUUUGAUUGUAUUUAACUCAUUUAAUAAAUAAUAACUUUAUUAAUAUAUAUCAUUCCUCAUCUUUUUAUAUUUUAUAUUAUCUAAAAUAUCUAGAAUAUCUAUCUAUAUCUAUAUUUAUAUCUAUAUAUAUAUAUAUAUAUAUAAAGUUGGGACUACAAGAAGUGAUGUGGCAUCACCAUUUCUCAUCAUUUCAUAUUCUCUAUUAUCUAAUAAAUUGGUUGAAAUUAAAAAAAUAAUUACAUUAUAAAAUAUUAAAAUAGAAAACAAUUAUUAGAUUAUAAAUGAUUACAUGUAUUUUCCUCUUUCUAUUUAAAUUCAACAAUAUGUAACCAUUAAUAAUAAUUAAUUAUGAGUCUUGAAACAUUCAUUUAUUUUAUUAUGCCAACAAUUAAAUUUUAGUGGCUUAAAAUACAUCAAUUAAUUAAUAUAGGAAGAAAGGUUCCUUCAUCUUUCCUCAACAAUGUCAUUAGAGCCUAAUUUUAAUGUCAUAAUCCCAUAUUUAAUUAUUCAAUCUUUUGUUUAGUGCCUUUUGGCUUCUUCAAACUCCAUAAACAUUAAAUAUUUAAGAUUUGUGUCAUUAUUAUUUCUCAUCUUUUUUUAUUCUCUAUUAUCUAAUAUAUUGGUUGAGAUUAAAAAAUAAUUACAUUACAAAAUAUUACAAAUUUAUAUCUAUCUAUCUAUAUCUCUAUAUAUAUAUAAAGUUGAGACUAGAAAAGGUGAUGUGGCAUCACUAUUUCUCAUCUUCUUGUAUUCUCUAUUAUCUAAUAAAUUGGUUGAUAUUAAAAAAAUAAUUACAUUACAAAAUAUUAAAAAUAAAAAAUAAUUAUUAGAUUAUAAAAGAUUACAUGUCUCUUCCUCUUUCUAUUUAAAUUCAAUAAUAUGUAACCAUUAAUAAUAAUUAAUUAUAAAUCUUGAAAUAUUUAUUAUUUUAUUAUGCCAACAAUUAAACUUUAGUGACUUAAAUAUAUCAAUUAAUUAAUAUAGGAAGGAAUGUUCCUUCAUCUUCCCUCAACAAUUUUAUUAUGGUCUAAUUUUAAUGCUAUAAUCUCAUAUUUAAUUAUGCAACCUUUUGUUUAGUGCCUUUUGGCUUCUUCAAACUCUAUAAAUAUUAAGUAGUUAAGAUUUGUGGCAUUAUUAUUUAUUAUCUUUUUUAUAUUUUCUAUUAUCUAAUAUAUUGGUUGAGAUUAAAAAAUAAUUACAUUACAAAAUAUUAAAAAUAGAAAAUAAUUAAUAGAUUACAAAAAAUUACAUGUCUCUUCCUCUUUCUAUUUAAAUUCAACAAUAUGUAACCAUUAAUAAUAAAUUAAUUAUAAGUUUUGAAACAUUCAUUUAUUUUAUUAAGCCAACAACUAAACGUUAGUGGUUUAAAAUACAUCAACUAAUUAAUAUAAGAAAGAAUGUUCCUUCAUCUUUCCUCACCAAUGCCACUAGGACAUAAUUUUAAUGUCAUAAUCCCAUAUUUAAUUAUGCAACCUUUUAUUUAGUGUCUUUUGGCUUCUUCAAACUCUAUAAAUAUUAAGCAUUUAAGAUUUGUUAUGUUUGAGUUUUUUUUAUUAUUUAACCAACAUCAUCUUUAGAAAUGUUAUUGUGUUUUUAUUUUUUGACUUAUUUAAAUUUUUAGUAUUGUGUGUUUCAUGGAAUACUCUUUUCUUCAUGAGUUAAAUAAUGAUAAAGAUAGUUGGAUGAUAAGGGUUAGGCUUUGUAAGAUGUGGGAGUAUGUUAAUACUAAGAAAAAUAGAGAGUUGAUUAGUGUGAACAUAAUUUAUUUUCUUACUUUAUACUUACAAAAAAAUAAUUAACUUUCAUAAAUAAUAGUUAUUUUUAAUGUUAACAAAAAAAUAAUUAACUUUCAUAAAUAAUAGUUAUUUUUAAUGUUAACAAAAAAAUAAUUAACUUUCAUAAAUAAUAUUAGUUUUAUAAGACUGCGUCAUCUUUAAAAAAAAUAAUUCAUAUUUUUUAUCAGUUUCAUCAAGUAUAAAGUAAUAAAAAAAGAUAAUACUAAUUUUUUUUUUUAAAGCCGCACGAAGUGCGGUUCCAUUUCCUAAUUUUGAAUAUAAACUGUGGUUAUUUUGAACGUGUUUUAAGGUGUAGAGCGCGAAUUACAAUCACAUACGUAAAAUGAUAAAUGAUAAAAAAAAGAGUUAUAUCUUUAAUAAUGUGAUUACGAAAGUAUUUUCUACUUUAAAAUGGUUUCAAUAUAUCCAGACUUUUAAAUAUAUUACUUUUUAUAAUUUUAACUUAAAAAAAAAUUAGACACUUCUCAAAUAUUAAUUUUUUUUUUCCAUUCGUUUCUUAUUACGUGUAUGUUUCAACUAAUUAUAAUAACAUACAAAUUCAUAAAACUCAUUGAAUAUAUAAGAACUAAGGGUGAAAAAACAAAGCACCAUAAUUCAAUUUUACUAAGGAGAAAAACCCAUACCCGAAACUAAUGAGAAAACAAAAUACACUCAUGACGUCUCAUUCAAAUGCCUAUCGUCUGAACUUUUUAUUUUCUGUCUCAUCUACACCCUCUACGUUUCAGGAGUCACCACUAAACCAAUCUCCAUCACUAUCAAGUCCAUCACAAUUAUUAACACAACAUUUAUUUUUCAAUUUUCUUAUUUUUAAAACACAGUUAACAAAUUGGUUUAUAAAUCAAACUUGAUAAAUUAUAAAUUUUACAUCUCGUCUAAGGCGUUUGUUUGCUUUGAAAAUGAACAUUAUUAUCAAACUAGUUGAAGAUUUUUUUUCAUAUUCAAUAACAGCUAAUUGUAUAUUUUUUUAAAAGUUAACAACAAAGUCAGCUCAUCACUAAAUUAAAUUCCAAAUCAAAGAAGAUAUAUUUCUUGUAUGAAUCAAAGAAGUAACAAAAGUUUCGCACAUCUCUUUAUAAUAAGCAUAGCCAAGCUUGAAGGUGGCCGAUGAUCUGAACUUGCUUGGUCGUGAAUCCGAUUCAAUAUUAGAUAACCCAAUUUGUUCACUGUGUUUUACUCAAAAAAAUUAAAAAUAAAUAUUGUUUAAUUUGUUGAUGGACUUGGUUUGGGAUUGUUGAAAAAGAGAGAGUGCAGAUAAAACAUAAAUUUUAAUUUUAAUUUUUUUAAUGAGUCUAUAUAUAGAUUAGAUUAGAUUAAUUGAAAAGGAGGGCUGCUAAUGCAUAUUGUGGGGUCAAGUGUCAUCACUCCUUUGUUUUUUAAAGGAGGAGUGGAUUAAACCCAGUAAACACCUGGGCUGAAACGAAACCUAACUAGGCCCAGUAUAGGGCAAAAAGGCUGAGAGGUCGGCUACAAGUAUUGCUUUUAACACCCCAGUUUUAUCUUUAUUAAAACCCCCAUUUAAUUCUAUUUCUUUAAUACCAAAAAUACCCUUCUCUAAAUAAAUGCUUUUCUAAUUGUGAUUUUUAUUUUUUCAGAAUUUCAUUCUGUACUUCCUCAGUUCAAAACCCAGCGUAUGCAAUCGUGCCUAUCUUAUAGGCAAAUAAAAUCUCUUAAGUGACAAAUUUUUGAAUGCCAAUAAGUAAUUUAAAUUUAAUACAUUUUAGAUUUAUUGUUUAAAAGAUGUGUUCUUGUAUUGAAAUAAUUAAACUGCAAAGGAGGAGAAAGAAUAAUAGAUUAUUUUAAAUUUAUAGGGGGCUAAUUAGAAAAAUGAAAGAGUUAGAUGCCGAAAAAAAUGAUUCGCAGAACUGCAGAAGUAGGUUGUUGAAGCAUGAAGAAAUUGCAGCCAAAAAAAAAAAAAAAAGGAAUUCAGUUGCGGGUUGAUGUAUUUAGAGCGAAUAAAAAUGAAUUUCACUAAACUUUUUUUGUGCUCAAUUAUAAUAAAAUCCAAAGUGGGGUUUUAUAAGGGUAAUUUUUAAGGAUCUUUCUCGAGGUUUGUUGUAUUCACAUUUAGAUGGAAAGUAUAAUUAUAAUUACAAAAUCUUCCCCACCAUUUGUAUUUCCAUUCACUGACUGUUAGUAUAUUAGUGAAAUAACAAAAAUAUCCCUAAAGCCGAAAACACCCUCAUAACAGCCGUUAGGGUGCUGUUCAUUAAUAGAAUGAACUCCUAGUACACAUAUAAAAUAAAAUAAAAUAAAAUAAAACGUAAUAACCAAAUACUUGACAUUGCAUACUCAUUAACUAGAAAAAAAAGGAUAAAAUAUUGGUGAAGAAUUUAACAAAUUUUGUAUUUCAAUUAAGAAAAUCAUAUUUGUUUUAAAUUGUAAUCACAAACACGAUCCCAAAAUUUAAUUUCAUUAAGAAAAUCUCAAUUUUUGUAUUUCAAUUUUGUUAUAAAAAUUAGGAAUUAUAUUUAUGAUUACAAUGCUAAAACCCACUUUUAUUUAACACAUAAAUCACACGAAAAUAACUAAUUUCUAAUACGCAAUGGUUUGUUUAGCUCAUCACCAGUGCGAAUCACACUAAAAACACGCAUCAACUUUUUCAACAACUCAAACACAACAUUAAAUCCAUUUUCAAACACAAUAUCAAAUCAACCAAAAGGCUCUAACUUUAACAUGCAUUGAGUUAUUUGGAAUUUUCACCUUCUAUGAGGUUUAAUAACUUAUUCGUUUUUCGCCUAUCGCCAACAAUGGUCACUUGACGACAUCAUUUUCCCACCACUAGCACUUCGUUGUUCAUCACUCUUUUUUCAAAUUAAGACUUCUUCAAAUUUGAGCUUCAUUUAGCAAGGUUAGAAGCACAAAGAGAAGAAUCUGGUUGUGUUUGGGACUUUAGGUGGAUGAAUGAAUUGCUAAUUAGAUUGGGUUUGGAAGAUGAAAGAUAAGAUAUGUCCAAUGCAUCCUUGGAACCAGUGGAUAAUAAACUACACUGCGGUCAACUGAUAAUGAGGUUGUUUUUGAUUUUUUCAAAAUUUUAAAUAAUUUUUUUAUGAAAUUAUCCUUAUACAUUGACAAGAUAACAAAUGGAAUACAAACGGUAAGUGAGGUAUCUAAUAAUAUACUCAUAUUUUCUAUCUAAGUAUUAAUACGCCAAACUUCAAUGGAGAUCCUUAAAAAUUAACCGGUUUUAUAAACCUCGAUGGCUUAUUCAUGAUCAAUCCCAUCAAGUUCAAGUUGGGCCUGCGAAGACUUAACAGGAGAAAAAAAGGAAAAAUCAAACGUUAUGAAAUAAUUAACAAUCUAGGGGCAUUGGUGAAAAUAUCAUAAACCAAUUCCAUUACUCUCUUUCGUUGCCCUAAUAGUCGUCCCGUCAUCUAUAAAUAAAUAAGUUCAUAAAACCCUAGCAUUUGCCGCCUCUCUCAAUCUCAAAAUUCCCUUCUUCUCACCGCCAGAACGUUCUUUCACCUUUAUAAAUCUCAGGCUUUAUUUAAUACCCAUUACCUGAAACCUCUCUCUUAUGGUAAAGUUCGAAUUUUUUUUCCCCUUCUCCUUGUUCAUGCGUUCUGAUUUUGUUUAAUGUUUUUAGUCAAGCUGAUUUUGCAUGUGCCUAUGAUGGUGUUAAAUAUACUUUGAGAGUUACAUCUAUGAAACGAAUUUAAUCUGAGGCACUUGGCCGUUUUUAACAUCAACAAAGCUUUAUAUUUUGAACCAUUAUUAUUUUUUUUUCCAACACAAUAUUUUUUAGGGAUCUUUCACAUGCUUUUUCAAGAAAAAUGGAUUAAUGUAUUGUAAAAUAUGCAACUGAUGAUAGAACAGACAGGGACAUCAGUUACUCCCGAGGGAGAAUGAUGACUUAGUCUAAUGGGAAUCUCUCUGAUGCAUAUAUGAUGUUGAUUUUGUUGUUUGUUUUGUUGCUUCAAUUCUAAAUUUAUCUCUUAGUGGUUUCACAAUUUGUGUUUUGUUUGCAUUGAUGAAACUUUAUGCACUUUUAUACAUUUGGGUUAACAGUAAUCUUUUAUAUUUGUCUAUGUGGCUUGGGUUUCAUGUUUUAGGUUUUAUUUGAUACACACACUUAUCUGUUCCAGUGCUUCCACUGGUGCCAAAGAUAGUUUUAUCUAGAAUUACUAUGAGUUAUUUCUGCGAUUCAAAACCUCAAGCUGAGGCACCUCAGUUCUCUUUUACAUGUUGUGCUUUUCUCAAUCUAUUAAAAUUUGUUAGCGUGUUUGCAUCAUUGCACAUAAGUUAAAAUUUAAUUGAUAAUAACUGUUGAAUACUAUUAACUUCAAUGACUGAAUUACAUUAUGCUGUACUUGUUGUUUAGAACAAAAUUUGUUCCUAGGACACUAUUGGGUUGCCAAUGCUAGGCCAUGUGGAUUUAUGCUUUUGGGCUCUCAUUUAUAUUCUCAGGAAAAGACUCAAGUUUCUCACUUCAAUGAUUUUGUAGAAGCACCUAAUGCACUGUGAAACAUGCACAUGUUUUGAAUAACUUUUUUGUGGUUUUUGUGAAUGAUAUGUUAUCUCUUUAAACUUUCAAUUUGCCCAUGAUGCAUCUCAAAUGCACGUAUUAUCAGAUAUAAUUCUGAUGAAAUCUGAUUGUCACUACCUCUGAGGCAUAUUGAGAAUUUUCAUUUUGAUUAUGUAACCAAACUAAGUUGAGCCAGCUUCAAGUUAUUUUAUAAUUUUUUUUAAAUAACAAUUUGGUUAAGAGUUUAUAAGGGGGUGGAAAAUCAAUAUUUUCUUGUUUCCGUUAAAUGAUCCAUUAAUUCUAUUGGGAAAUAUGUUUGUUGAUUGUUGUCAAACUUGCAAAAUUACAAUUUCUAAUGCUUUAUUCUUUGUGGGCGCAUCAUGAAUUAUGAUGCCAAUAAUGGUCUUAAAUAUACUAUGAGUACAUGCUAAGAACAGAACAUAAUCUGAGGCAACUUAUCAAUUAUCUUGCAGUUUUGCUUAAUUUGUUUCUGUUAAAUGAUACAUGAAUUCUCUUUAGCUAUGUGUGUGUUUUUGGUUGCCGACUUGGUAAUAACUAUAGUCAAUGCAUUUUUGUUUGUCUUCUCAUUUGUUAUUUCUCUCUCUCUCUUUUUUAAAAAAUGGUCUUUAAUACUUUAAGAGCAUAUAUGCUGUGAACAGAAGUUAAUCUGAGGGAAACCUAUUUUAGUGAACUUCUAUCCCUUUUUUUUUUUAGACUAUUCAAGUUAAUUUGAUAGGCCUCUUAAAUAUUCUUGCUACUAUAUAAGUGAAUUGGUGUUGCAAAGGCCUGAUGAUUGUUGAACAAGAACGGAGAUUUGAAAUAUGUUCAUGUUGCAGCCUGAUUCCAAAAAUUGAGCUCCAUGAACAUGUUAUGUAAUAAACAUUUCUAUUUGAAAUAUGAAGGCCAGGGUAAAUAUUAUUUUUGAUUAUUAAUUUUUGUGGUUUCAAAACCCUGGUGGACCAACUUGUUUAAUUUCAUUUUUUGUUUGUUUUUGAUCUGUAUAAUUUAGUUUGUUAUUUCCUGGUUCCUUUGAGUGUUCACAUUUAACAAUCAGAGAUGAACCUACUAAGCAUGAGAUGGGAAUAAUUGGAGCCUUAAACCUCAAGAAUGAGGUGAAGAGUCUACAUUGAAUCUUCAGCUUAUUUUGUUCUUGUUCAUGAUUCUGACCUAACAUGAAAGUUUUAACUAACACAGAAUUUUGUAAUUAUAUCCUUUUUCUUAGUCUUUAGUAAAUUUUUAAUGAUUUAGCGCAUUGUCGACCCCGGGUGUGGCAAGCGGAGCUGUAAAUUUUCAUAUGGUUCUUUGCACUCCCUUUCUUAUUUUGCAAGUACUAAGCUAAUUUUUUUCAUGCGUUCAGCCACAUUUUAUUUAGCAUCCAACUCUAUCUUACAUUUAAUUUGUUUAUAAAUAAAAAGGGGUGCAAGGGUUUACAUGAAAAUUCAUAUUGUGCCAUAACAAGGUGAUAUGAUAGUAUUGAUACAGCUGUUGCAUCAUAGCCGGAGCUGGACGGAUGGACCCUUGAAUAAUGCUUUAGGAUUGUUACUGGCCGGAUCUUGAAGUCUAAAAUGUAAUUAAACUUCUGUUUGUAUCUUUAAAUAAGAAAAUGAGUCAUGAGUGUAAUCUCAUCUCUUCCUCGGGCAUUUGUAUUAAUAUUUCUAUUUCUUUUAAAAUUGUUUCUUUUAGACAUUUAUGUUACCGAUGUAACUAAUAUGGAUAUCAAAUAUUCAAUUAUGUAUGGAUAAUAACCAUCUAAGUACAAAUUAUAAUUAUUCAUGAUGGGUAUAUCCAUAUUCAACAUUUAAUACUGGAUAUGAAUAUGGAUUUUAUCCAUAUGGAUAUGGAUAUCCAUGGAUAUUAUUG